AGGAUAAACGCUGGCGGCGUGCCUAACACAUGCAAGUCGAACGCCCUACGCAAGUAGGGAGUGGCGGACGGGUGAGGAACACGUGGGUUAUCUGCCUUUCGGUGAGGAAUACCAGCGAGAAAUCGCUGACAAUACCGCAUACGGUUCUUUCGAGAGGAAGAACGAAAGUCGUAAGACGCCGGGAGAUGAGCCUGCGCCCGAUUAGUUUGUUGGUGGGGUAAAAGCCUACCAAGACUGCAAUCGGUAGCUGUUCUGAGAGGAAGAUCAGCCACACUGGGACUGAGACACGGCCCAGACUCCUACGGGAGGCAGCAGUUGGGAAUCUUGGACAAUGGGGGAAACCCUGAUCCAGCCAUGCCGCGUGAGUGAUGAAGGCCUUCGGGUUGUAAAACUCUUUCGACGGGGACGAUAAUGACGGUACCCGUAGAAGAAGCUCCGGCUAACUUCGUGCCAGCAGCCGC
rnacentral:rRNA from 1 species